rnacentral:tRNA from 1 species
GUUUUUAUAGUUUAAAAAAAAAACAUUGAUCUUGUAAAUCAAAAUUAAAUUUUUAUUUUAAAAACU